rnacentral:rRNA from 1 species
GUACACGCUGUGACUAGCAUAUCAAUAAGCGGAGGAAAAGAAACUAACAAGGAUUCCCCUAGUAACGGCGAGUGAAGCGGGAAGAGCUCAAAUUUGAAAUCUUAAAGGGUUUCCCUUUACGAAUUGUAGUUUAAAGAAGUGUUUUCUGCUUGAGGUUUUGGUAAAAGUUCUUUGGAAUAGGACAUCAUAGAGGGUGAGAAUCCCGUAUUUGACCUUUACCUUUCAACUUUGUGAUACACUUUCAAAGAGUCGGAUUGUUUGGGAAUGCAGUCCAAAAUGGGUGGUAAAUUUCAUCUAAAGCUAAAUAUUGGCGAGAGACCGAUAGCGAACAAGUACCGUGAGGGAAAGAUGAAAAGAACUUUGAAAAGAGAGUUAAACAGUACGUGAAAUUGUCAAAAGGGAAGCGUUUGACACCAGUGUUGUUUUUCUGAAAAUCAAUUAAAGAACUGUUUAUGCUAAGUUGUUUAGACUUUAUCAGCUAACUGUUUAGUUUUGAGCUUUUCUUUAAUGCACUUUUCAGUUAACAAGUCAACAUCAAUUUCUUUUGCUGUAAAAAAGCUUGAGGAAGGUGGCUUGAGAUUCGUCUUAAGUGUUUAUAGCCUCUUGCCUAUGCAGUCGGAGAGAUUGAGGUCUGCAGCGUAGAUCCUUCGGGGCUAAAUGCAUUUGUGCUAAGUUAUAGCAUUUUCAUAGACAACUUGUUGACUAUGAUUUGUCUUGUAGCUUACUCGCUUAUGUUAUUUUACCUACGCUUAGGAUGUUGACAGCAGUAUAGACUGU